GUGACCUUCAUCAUUUGAGGUUAUGUGUUGAUUUCACCUCUGAAUAUUUCCUCUUAUAGGUCCAUCAUCCUUUCAUACGCUACACACUCAAAAGCAUUGAUAAAUGCUGAAUUUAAAAGAAUCACUACUGUCUUAUGUUCCUGCGUGUCACCUGGACCUCCAAUCCAAAAACCUGAUGAAACUUUUCUAUCAGAAAGGAGGACAGCUAGCAAAAAGACUUGGAACAAUCAAUGAUCAAAUGACAGAAGGCAUGGAUGAAGUCAGCAUCAGUGAGGUCAUUUGAAGACACCACUGUUGGGAUUUGUGCUCUCAAACAACAUGCUUCUUGAAGAAGAGGAUCUUUGUAUAGUCCUGGAAGGCAUGAAGGUGUUGCAACAUCGUGCCAUGUUGUUUGAGCUGAUAUAUGCCCUAAACCUGAGCUAUCCUGAUCUCCGCUUUAUUUUUGAGGAAAUCCAAAAGAUUUUAAUGGAACUGCAUUGAGCGUAACUUUAACCAACAGUUUCUUUCAGUGAAAGGAUCAGAAAGACUGUGCUGCUCAUUUAUGUUCUUUUUAUUUAUCUGUUUUAAGUGUUUUCUCUUAUUAAAACAUUAACAGUUAGCUGCUCAGAGUUGAUUUUGGAAAUGGUUGUUGUAUUUUGUUUUUGUUGAAUCUUUGAUUAUCAGUUUAUACAAAUGCUGUAGCUCUGACUUUCUGAAGGAUUGAUAUUUUCCAGUUUGUAAAUCCAUUUAAAAAAUAAUAGUACUUAUUGUUUUGCAUGUCUCUUUGGAAUGCAGUGUUUGUGUUUUAGCACUUCUAAAUCUACUGUGAUAGUAACUAUUUUAAACAUUUGGGUCAGUUUCACAGAUGGGGCUUUUCCUAGUACCAGACUUUUGCAAUGCCUUAAUUUGAAAACAUAUUGCACUGACAUAUCUUGACAUAUAUCAGUGCCAUUGUUUUGUCUCAAGAUGUAUUCCAGUGUUGUUUUUGUAAGGUAGGUUUGUUUGUAAACUUUUUUUGUAAAAAAUAUUCUAAUAUAACUACUAGGGCCUAGUCAUGGCUUAAUCUACAACCUGUCUGGGAAAUUGCCCCUUUAUGUAUGUACUGCAUGUGCUGAUUGUUGUAAUAGUUAUUGACUGUUAAUGAAUUAAUGUGUAGUGAUUUAAAUGAAUUGAUGAUCUGAAAGCAGUGGUUUGCCUAAAUAUCACUAAACAUUUGUACAAAACUCUUUGCUUUUUAUGCCAAUGCAAAUGUAUUUUGUAUUUAAAAAAGAAAUAAAUAACAUUUGGAUAA